UGGGGAAUAUUGCACAAUGGGCGCAAGCCUGAUGCAGCCAUGCCGCGUGUAUGAAGAAGGCCUUCGGGUUGUAAAGUACUUUCAGCGAGGAGGAAGGCGUUGUGGUUAAUAACCGCAGCGAUUGACGUUACUCGCAGAAGAAGCACCGGCUAACUCCGUGCCAGCAGCCGCGGUAAUACGGAGGGUGCAAGCGUUAAUCGGAAUUACUGGGUGUAAAGCGCACGCAGGCGGUCUGUCAAGUCGGAUGUGAAAUCCCCGGGCUCAACCUGGGAACUGCUUCCUGAACUGGCAGGCUAGAGUAUUGUAGAGGGUGGUAGAAUUCCAUGUGUGGCGGUGAAAUGCGUAGAGAUCUGGAGGAAUACCGGUGGCGAAGGCGGCCCCGUGGACAAAGACUGACGCUCAGGUGCGAAGGCGUGGGGAGCAAACA
rnacentral:rRNA from 1 species